CUUGCUCUGGUGGAUUAGUGGCGAACGGGUGAGUAACACGUGAGUAACCUGCCCUUGACUCUGGAAUAAGCGUUGGAAACGACGUCUAAUACCGGAUACGAGCUUCCGCCGCAUGGUGAGGAGCUGGAAAGAAUUUCGGUCAAGGAUGGACUCGCGGCCUAUCAGGUAGUUGGUGAGGUAAUGGCUCACCAAGCCUACGACGGGUAGCCGGCCUGAGAGGGUGACCGGCCACACUGGAACUGAGACACGGUCCAGACUCCUACGGGAGGCAGCAGUGGGGAAUAUUGCACAAUGGGCGCAAGCCUGAUGCAGCAACGCCGCGUGAGGGACGACGGCCUUCGGGUUGUAAACCUCUUUUAGUAGGGAAGAAGCGAAAGUGACGGUACCUGCAGAAAAAGCACCGGCUAACUACGUGCCAGCAGCCGCGGUAAUACGUAGGGUGCAAGCGUUAUCCGGAAUUAUUGGGCGUAAAGAGCUCGUAGGCGGUUUGUCGCGUCUGCUGUGAAAACUGGGGGCUCAACCCCCAGCCUGCAGUGGGUACGGGCAGACUAGAGUGCGGUAGGGGAGAUUGGAAUUCCUGGUGUAGCGGUGGAAUGCGCAGAUAUCAGGAGGAACACCGAUGGCGAAGGCAGAUCUCUGGGCCGUAACUGACGCUGAGGAGCGAAAGCAUGGGGAGCGAACAGGAUUAGAUACCCUGGUAGUCCAUGCCGUAAACGUUGGGAACUAGAUGUAGGGGCCAUUCCACGGUUUCUGUGUCGCAGCUAACGCAUUAAGUUCCCCGCCUGGGGAGUACGGCCGCAAGGCUAAAACUCAAAGGAAUUGACGGGGGCCCGCACAAGCGGCGGAGCAUGC
rnacentral:rRNA from 1 species